UACAGAGGUGGCAAGCGUUGUUCGGAAUUACUGGGCGUAAAGGGCGCGUAGGCGGUCUUGUAAGUCUCGUGUGAAAUCCCUCGGCUUAACUGAGGAACUGCACGGGAUACUGCUUGACUUGAGUUCGGGAGAGGGAAGCGGAAUUCCGGGUGUAGCGGUGAAAUGCGUAGAUAUCAGGAAGAACACCCGUGGCUAAGGCGGCUCUCUAGUACGGUACUGACGCUGAGACGCGAAAGCGUGGGGAGCGAACAGG
rnacentral:rRNA from 1 species